rnacentral:rRNA from 2 species
GGUCAAGCGAAUAAGUGCAUGUGGUGGAUGCCUUGGCGAUCACAGGCGAUGAAGGACGUAGUAGCUUGCGAAAAGCUGCGGGGAGCUGGCAAACGAGCUUUGAUCCGCAGAUGUCCGAAUGGGGAAACCCGGCCCGUAUGGGUCAUCCCUUGCUGAAUACAUAGGCAAGGGAGGCGAACGCAGUGAACUGAAACAUCUAAGUAGCUGCAGGAAAAGAAAUCAACCGAGAUUCCCAAAGUAGUGGCGAGCGAAAUGGGAACAGCCUUGUACUCUUUAGCAGUAUUGUUAGCGGAACGGAAUGGAAAGUCCGGCCAUAGUGGGUGAUAGCCCCGUACGCGAAAACAGUAUUGUGGAACUAGGUGUACGACAAGUAGGGCGGGACACGUGAAAUCCUGUCUGAAGAUGGGGGGACCAUCCUCCAAGGCUAAAUACUCGUGAUCGACCGAUAGUGAACCAGUACCGUGAGGGAAAGGCGAAAAGAACCCCGGGAGGGGAGUGAAAUAGAUCCUGAAACCGCAUGCAUACAAACAGUCGGAGCCUGGAAACGGGUGACGGCGUACCUUUUGUAUAAUGGGUCAGCGACUUACAUUCAGUGGCAAGCUUAACCGAUUAGGGAAGGCGUAGCGAAAGCGAGUCCGAAUAGGGCGUUCAGUCGCUGGGUGUAGACCCGAAACCAAGUGAUCUAUCCAUGGCCAGGUUGAAGGUGCGGUAACACGUACUGGAGGACCGAACCCACUAACGUUGAAAAGUUAGGGGAUGAGCUGUGGAUAGGGGUGAAAGGCUAAACAAACUUGGAAAUAGCUGGUUCUCUCCGAAAACUAUUUAGGUAGUGCCUCGUGUCUCACCUUCGGGGGUAGAGCACUGUCAUGGUUGGGGGGUCUAUUGCUGAUUACCCCGCCAUAGCAAACUCCGAAUACCGAAGAGUGCAAUCACGGGAGACAGACAUCGGGUGCUAACGUCCGGUGUCAAGAGGGAAACAACCCAGACCGCCAGCUAAGGUCCCUAAGAUUGGCUAAGUGGGAAACGAAGUGGGAAGGCUAAAACAGUCAGGAGGUUGGCUUAGAAGCAGCCACCCUUUAAAGAAAGCGUAAUAGCUCACUGAUCGAGUCGUCCUGCGCGGAAGAUGUAACGGGGCUAAGCCAGUCACCGAAGCUGCGGAUGCACGUAAGUGCAUGGUAGGAGAGCGUUCUGUAAGCCUGUGAAGGUGUCUUGUAAAGGAUGCUGGAGGUAUCAGAAGUGCGAAUGCUGACAUGAGUAGCGAUAAAGGGGGUGAAAGGCCCCCUCGCCGUAAGCCCAAGGUUUCCUACGCAACGUUCAUCGGCGUAGGGUGAGUCGGCCCCUAAGGCGAGGCAGAGAUGCGUAGCUGAUGGGAAGCAGGUUAAUAUUCCUGCACCGUCGUAUGAUGCGAUGGGGGGACGGAUCGCGGAAGGUUGUCCGGGUGUUGGAAGUCCCGGUCCCUACAUUGGAGAUGGCACUUAGGCAAAUCCGGGUGCGUGAUUCAAGGGUGUGGGGCGAGCGACGUUAGGUCGCGAAGCAAUUGGAAGUGGUUCCAAGAAAAGCCUCUAAGCUUCAGUCAUACGAGACCGUACCGCAAACCGACACAGGUGGGCGAGAUGAGUAUUCUAAGGCGCUUGAGAGAACUCGGGAGAAGGAACUCGGCAAAUUGGUACCGUAACUUCGGGAUAAGGUACGCCCUUGUAGUUUGACUGGCUCGCGCCAGAAGGAUGAAGGGGUUGCAAUAAAAUGGUGGCUGCGACUGUUUAAUAAAAACACAGCACUCUGCAAACACGAAAGUGGACGUAUAGGGUGUGACGCCUGCCCGGUGCCGGAAGAUUAAAUGAUGGGGUGCAAGCUCUUGAUUGAAGUCCCGGUAAACGGCGGCCGUAACUAUAACGGUCCUAAGGUAGCGAAAUUCCUUGUCGGGUAAGUUCCGACCUGCACGAAUGGCGUAACGAUGGCCACACUGUCUCCUCCCGAGACUCAGCGAAGUUGAAGUGUUUGUGAUGAUGCAAUCUCCCCGCGGCUAGACGGAAAGACCCCAUGAACCUUUACUGUAGCUUUGCAUUGGACUUUGAACCGAUCUGUGUAGGAUAGGUGGGAGGCUUUGAAACCGGGACGCUAGUUUCGGUGGAGCCGACCUUGAAAUACCACCCUGGUUUGUUUGAGGUUCUAACCUUGGCCCGUGAAUCCGGGUCGGGGACAGUGCAUGGUAGGCAGUUUGACUGGGGCGGUCUCCUCCCAAAGUGUAACGGAGGAGUUCGAAGGUACGCUUGGUACGGUCGGACAUCGUACCUAAAGUGCAAUGGCAAAAGCGUGCUUAACUGCGAGACCGACAAGUCGAGCAGGUGCGAAAGCAGGACAUAGUGAUCCGGUGGUUCUGUAUGGAAGGGCCAUCGCUCAACGGAUAAAAGGUACUCUGGGGAUAACAGGCUGAUACCGCCCAAGAGUUCAUAUCGACGGCGGUGUUUGGCACCUCGAUGUCGGCUCAUCUCAUCCUGGGGCUGUAGCCGGUCCCAAGGGUAUGGCUGUUCGCCAUUUAAAGAGGUACGUGAGCUGGGUUUAAAACGUCGUGAGACAGUUUGGUCCCUAUCUGCCGUGGGCGUUGGAAUCUUGACGGGGGCUGCUCCUAGUACGAGAGGACCGGAGUGGACGUACCGCUGGUGUACCUGUUGUCUCGCCAGAGGCAUCGCAGGGUAGCUAUGUACGGAAGAGAUAACCGCUGAAAGCAUCUAAGCGGGAAACUCGCCUGAAGAUGAGGAUUCCCUGGAGACUUGAUCUCCCUGAAGGGUCGUUCGAGACCAGGACGUUGAUAGGCUGGGUGUGGAAGCGCAGUAAUGUGUUCAGCUAACCAGUACUAAUUGCCCGUGCGGCUUGAUCCU